rnacentral:lncRNA from 10 species
GACAUCCUUAUGACUUGCUUUAGGCUGCUUUCUGGAUGUAUUUUCAGAGCUGGGGAUGAGGAGAGGUUGCGUAAAGGUGCCGGCCUGCUGCUGGCCGGGGCUGGCAGCCUUUCAGCCGCCGCGGGUGAGUCAACACCUGGGAAUUGCAUCCAAGGGCGGCCCUUUCAAGCUGCCUGGAACUUUCUGCCAUCACACUGAGGCCACUGUUUGACCCAGUCCCGGGCCAGGGAGGCAGGAGCCGAUCACGUCCCAGGGCAGUGCUUCUCCCUGGCACUGAGUCCGUGGAAAGAGGCUGGGAAGGUUCUUUCCACACUUGAGGGCUGGCGUUGGGAAAAUAGGGUAGUGCUCUCCGCCCCAGUGAACAGCAAGAGCUCACUUCCCCCAGCAGACUUCUGCUCCACUGGCCUACUUUCAGCAUGGAGUGGAAGGAAGCCAGCUCCAGGAGGGCAGAGGCUUCCUCUCCACCCCUCUCUUCCACAACCUUCAACAGGCGCCUUGUUCUCCCCGGCCAGGGAACUGCGGAUGGUGACCAUCGUUUCCCAGCCCAGCAAGGGGAAAUGAGGGGAGGAAAUAAACGCAGGGUUUUUAUUGCCAAAUAUUUCUUUCCCUGGGAGGACAACGCAUUCAAACCGCUGAGUGGAGAUUGGAGUUAGUCCAGCCAUAAACCAUCUUAAUGAACACUAAUAGAGAACCGCAAUUAUUGUUGACUUCAAAAUGCAAACAAGAACUUUAGACAGUGAUCCCUAUCAGCCGGUGAGGCCGGGCACAGAUGCCGGGCGCUGUUUUUGCCGUUGCUUAGCAAUGGAAAAUGAACUGUUCCUGUCUGUUACCACUGGAGGUGGAGAUAAAGUUUGAACUUUUGCCGGGAGUGUCCCUCCAAAACGAUCAUCAAUCAGACAGAAUAGCUGCAAAUACCAACUCACAGACCAGGUUGGGAAUUAGGUGAUAGGGUCUUGCUAUGUUGCCUCGGCUGGAAUGCAGUGGCUGUUCAUAGACAUUAUCACAGCACACUACAGUCUCAAACUCCUGGACUCAAGCAAUCCUCCUGCCUCAGCCUCCUGAGUAGCUAGGACUACUGGGAUGCACUACUGCUCUUGGCAAAUUAAGGAUUUUGAGAUGGAGAGACUAUCCUGGAUUAUCUGAUGGGCUUAAUCAUUGACAAAGGUUCUUAUAUAAGGAAAAGUCAAUGUGAUAAUGGAAGCAGAUUUGAAGAUGCUGUGCAACUGGCUUUGAAGAUGGAGGACGGGGCCACAAGCCAAGGAUUGUUGGCAGCCUCUAAGCUGGAAGAGGUAAGAAGCAUAUUCUCCUGUGGCACCUCCGGGAGAAAUGCAGUACUGCCUAUACCUUGACUUUAGCCAAGUGAAACUAAUUUUAGACUUCUCACCUCCAGAACUGUAAGAUAAUAAAUUUGUGUUGAUUUAAGACACUAUGUUUGUGGUAAUUGGUUACAGCAAUAGGAAACUAAUAGACCAGGCAUUAUGUUAAGUGCUUUAUAUCAUUAAAGAAAUGUAUACAAAUCCAC